UACGGAGGGUGCAAGCGUUAUCCGGAUUUACUGGGUUUAAAGGGUGCGUAGGUGGGUCUGUAAGUCAGUGGUGAAAUCUCCGAGCUUAACUCGGAAACUGCCAUUGAUACUAUAGAUCUUGAAUUAUCUGGAGGUAAGCGGAAUAUGUCAUGUAGCGGUGAAAUGCUUAGAUAUGACAUAGAACACCAAUUGCGAAGGCAGCUUACUGGCCCGGUACUGACGCUGAGGUGCGAAAGCGUGGGGAGCAAACAGG
rnacentral:rRNA from 1 species